UACGUAGGGGGCUAGCGUUGUCCAGAUUUAUUGGGCGUAAAGAGCGUGUAGGCGGCCAGGUAGGUCUGCUGUGAAAACUCGAGGCUCAACCUCGAGACGUCGGCGGAAACCAUCUGGCUAGAGUCCGGAAGAGGAGAGUGGAAUUCCUGGUGUAGCGGUGAAAUGCGCAGAUAUCGGGAGGAACACCAGUGGCGAAGGCGACUUCCUGGCCUGUUCUUGACGCUGAGGCGCGAAAGCUAGGGGAGCAAACGGG
rnacentral:rRNA from 1 species